CCUGGUUUGGCUCAGUGGAGAGAGCAUCAGUCUGCAGACUGAAGGGUCCCUGGUUCAAAUCCCAUCAGGG
rfam:Myotis davidii contig128295, whole genome shotgun sequence.